AAGACUAUACUUUCAGGGAUUAAUUCUAGAGUUUCGGACUUGAGAUAUUCUAAAGUGUUUAAUCUCGCUGACCACAAUGAUGAGUUGUGAUAUUCCUUAUGAGCGAGAAGCUGACAGAGAGUAAUAAUUACCUUCAUAUGCUCUCUGUAAUUGAUGAUUAUUGUUUGUUUCUUUAUGGAGUAUUGAUGGAGAGAAUAUGAUUAGAGUGGU